AAACCCACUGACUUCUGGUUUUAUUUUAUAAGUAGGAAAUAUUAUGGUGGCAAAACUGCGCUAAAAGAAGCGACAGCCAACAGCAACGGGCGAGCUGUAAAACCGCUCUGCAAGUGUACUUUUAUUGCGUAUAAAAUGCAUUUUGCAAUGCCACAAAACUGAAGCGUUGUGUGCCCAGAGCGAAAGUUACGACCAGAGACCAGGACGCUGACACACACAUACACACACACAGAGAGAAGAGUUGUAGUUCAGAAAAUUGGGCACAAAGAAACGAAACAUGAAUACUCCACAUGUCAUAAUAAAAGCAGAUGAUAAAAAUUAUGCUAUAAAAAGGAAAGCAAGGAAAAUUCCAAACACUGGCUGGCAAUGAUUGCACGGCACGUUUAUGGGAAGUGCGCGAUGCCGGAGCACGAUAGGAAAUGGGAUCGAAAUAUGUUAGUAAGUGUAGUGAAGGAGUGGAGAGAAAUUGAAGCGUGGCUCAAAUUGAAAUAUGUAUUAUGCAAGUUAAUUAUGUUGUCAAAUUAAAAAUAUAAAUUAGGUACUUUUACUAUAAAUAAUAACCGGAUUAUGAAAGCAAAUGCAUUAAGCUCUGGCUGUUAGUGCUCCUAUUGCCGCUGCAUCGAGUUAAAUAAACUUCAAAAGCAGCACACACACGAGCAGCUCCAGUGAUUAACAAA